rnacentral:rRNA from 1 species
UACGAAGGGGGCUAGCGUUGCUCGGAAUCACUGGGCGUAAAGCGCACGUAGGCGGCGUCUUAAGUCAGGGGUGAAAUCCUGGAGCUCAACUCCAGAACUGCCUUUGAUACUGAGAUGCUUGAAUCCGGGAGAGGGAUGCGGAAUUCCAGGUGUAGCGGUGAAAUGCGUAGAUAUCUGGAGGAACACCGGUGGCGAAGGCGGCAUCCUGGACCGGCAUUGACGCUGAGG